GAUAUAGGUUGGCGUCGGAGGGGAAACCACUUCGCCAACAUAAACUAAUGGUUUCCCAAGGACAAGCUUAGUGUCUUAAAAUAAGCAUUGAUUAGAUCGUAACAUGAGCCUUUAAUUAUUUGCAACAUUACCUUGUGUAUUGAGCAUAUAAGGAUAAUUGUAAAAAAAAAUAUUCCUUUGGGUAUUCUUGUCACUAACCUUUCUAAGAUUGGAGCA
rnacentral:lncRNA from 1 species